rnacentral:ncRNA from 2 species
CUCUUAUCCCGAGAUGGCGGAGGGACAGGCCCGAUGAAGCCCAGCAACCAGCUUUUUAGGUGCAUAUAAUAAAAAUGAAAGCUUAGUAGAUAAGUUGAAGAGUCAUUUUUAUAAGCAUGCUAAAAUGAAAAGGUGCUAACCUGUAGCAAGGUAAUUCCUUGAACGAUAAGAG